rnacentral:rRNA from 1 species
UAAUACGUAGGUGGCAAGCGUUAUCCGGAAUUACUGGGUGUAAAGGGAGCGCAGGCGGGAUAGCAAGUCAGCUGUGAAAACUAUGGGCUCAACCCAUAAACUGCAGUUGAAACUGUUAUUCUUGAGUGGAGUAGAGGCAAGCGGAAUUCCGAGUGUAGCGGUGAAAUGCGUAGAUAUUCGGAGGAACACCAGUGGCGAAGGCGGCUUGCUGGGCUCUAACUGACGCUGAGGCUCGAAAGUGUGGGGAGCAAACAGGAUUAGAUACCCUGGUAGUCCACACUGUAAACGAUGAUUGCUAGGUGUGGGGGGUCUGACCCCCUCCGUGCCGGAGUUAACGCAAUAAGCAAUCCACCUGGGGAGUACGGCCGCAAGGUUG